rfam:Triticum aestivum genome assembly, contig: Triticum_aestivum_CS42_TGACv1_scaffold_515941_6BS
CAACUACUCCCUCUGUCCCAAUUUUUUUCUUAGAUUUUUCUAGAUACGGAUGUAUCUAAUACUAAAAUGUGACUUGAUACAUUCGUAUCUAUACAAAUCUAAGACAAGAAUUUUGGGACGGAGGGAGUACUUU